AGAGUUUAGUAGUCUCGGCGUCAGGGAUGAACGGCUGGCGGCGUCGCUUAACAACAUGCAAGUCGAACGGAAAGGCCUCUGCUUGCAGAGGUACUCGAGUGGCGAACGGGUGAGUAACACGUGGGUGAUCUGCCCUGCACUUCGGGAUAAGCCUGGGAAACUGGGUCUAAUACCGGAUAGGACGAUGGUUUGGAUGCCAUUGUGGAAAGUUUUUUCGGUGUGGGAUGAGCUCGCGGCCUAUCAGCUUGUUGGUGGGGUAAUGGCCUACCAAGGCGUCGACGGGUAGCCGGCCUGAGAGGGUGUACGGCCACAUUGGGACUGAGAUACGGCCCAGACUCCUACGGGAGGCAGCAGUGGGGAAUAUUGCACAAUGGGCGCAAGCCUGAUGCAGCGACGCCGCGUGGGGGAUGACGGCCUUCGGGUUGUAAACUCCUUUCGCUAGGGACGAAGCAUUUUGUGACGGUACCUGGAGAAGAAGCACCGGCUAACUACGUG
rnacentral:rRNA from 1 species